GAUGAACGCUGGCGGCGUGCCUAAUACAUGCAAGUCGAGCGAACGGACGAGAAGCUUGCUUUUCUGAUGUUAGCGGCGGACGGGUGAGUAACACGUGGAUAACCUACCUAUAAGACUGGGAUAACUUCGGGAAACCGGAGCUAAUACCGGAUAAUAUUUUGAACCGCAUGGUUCAAAAGUGAAAGACGGUCUUGCUGUCACUUAUAGAUGGAUCCGCGCUGCAUUAGCUAGUUGGUAAGGUAACGGCUUACCAAGGCAACGAUGCAUAGCCGACCUGAGAGGGUGAUCGGCCACACUGGAACUGAGACACGGUCCAGACUCCUACGGGAGGCAGCAGUAGGGAAUCUUCCGCAAUGGGCGAAAGCCUGACGGAGCAACGCCGCGUGAGUGAUGAAGGUCUUCGGAUCGUAAAACUCUGUUAUUAGGGAAGAACAUAUGUGUAAGUAACUGUGCACAUCUUGACGGUACCCAAUCAGAAAGCAACGGCUAACUACGUG
rnacentral:rRNA from 1 species